rnacentral:rRNA from 1 species
UACAGAGGUCUCAAGCGUUGUUCGGAUUCAUUGGGCGUAAAGGGUGCGUAGGCGGCGCGGUAAGUCGGGGUGUGAAAUCUUGGAGCUUAACUCCGAAACUGCAUUCGAUACUGCCGUGCUUGAGGGACUGGGAGAGGAGACGUGGAAUUUACGGUGAGCGGUGAAAUGCGUAGAUAUCGUAAGGAAGACCAGUGGCGAAGGCGG